rnacentral:rRNA from 1 species
UAUUAAUUUGAUCAUGGCUCAGAUUGACACGCUGGCGGCAGGCCUAACACAUGCAAGUCGAGCGGAUGACGGGAGCUUGCUCCUUGAUUCAGCGGCGGACGGGUGAGUAAUGCCUAGGAAUCUGCCUGGUAGUGGGGGACAACGUUUCGAAAGGAACGCUAAUACCGCAUACGUCCUACGGGAGAAAGCAGGUGACCUUCGGGCCUUGCGCUAUCAGAUGAGCCUAGGUCGGAUUAGCUAGUUGGUGGGGUAAUGGCUCACCAAGGCGACGAUCCGUAACUGGUCUGAGAGGAUGAUCAGUCACACUGGAACUGAGACACGGUCCAGACUCCUACGGGAGGCAGCAGUGGGGAAUAUUGGACAAUGGGCGAAAGCCUGAUCCAGCCAUGCCGCGUGUGUGAAGAAGGUCUUCGGAUUGUAAAGCACUUUAAGUUGGGACGAAGGGCAGUAAGCUAAUACCUUGCUGUUUUG